GUUUCUCAAUGCAGCCUUUCUCCUCUUUCAGCUUCACCAACAGACUGCUUCGUGAAGAGAUGUGUUUUAAAAUAAUUUAAUAUUGCAUACAGCCCCACUUAUUUCUGCCUCUCAAGAUCUCAUGCCGAACUGGGCACAGAGAGAUUCUCUUUCUUAGCCAGCCUUUGUACUUGUUUCUCAUGUUCCGAAGAGAAAUUAUUGGCUUUUCCCUCAGGGCUGCCACUCAGGAGCAAGGUGCUCUGUGAGCUUCGUCUGAGAGCUAAAGGAUGGAGUUGUUCUUCUGAUUCUUGGUCUUGUUAUUUAAUGAUAAUUACUACUGAGGAAAUGGAGAAAAUUCUUCAAUCUCAGCUUUUAAAGGAUAGCUUCUACUCCGCUGCAGACAGCUCAGGCUCCUGGAGCUGGGCUGACCUGAGAGCAGAACGUGAGCCUCUAAUGCUUCAUUACGAUCCAGCCUCCUGCAGAUCUCCAUGUGCCGCCUCAUUGAUUCCACUGAACGGAUCCUCAGAUGCAUUUUCGACUCAUGCUUCUGUGACCUGGUGAUACACCAGGACACCAUUCCCUAAGUGAGUCCGUUUGGAAUAAAUGUGCAGCUGUGGCUGCGUGUACUCUGAUCCCCGACCUUCCUUCUACAUUGAUUUCCUUCUUCGUCUGUUCAAAUCUCACCUUCUCAGUGAAGCCUACGCUGAGUGCUCCGUUUACAGUCACACCCUCCCCAACACGUUCCCAGUCCUCCUCACCCUUCUGUAUUCCCCCCCAAAAAUGUAUCUCAUUGUAACAUUCUGUAUAAUUAAUUUUUUGUUCUGUUGUUGUUUUCUGUUCUCACUAGAUUGCUCCUCCAGGAAAGGGGCUUCCUACUGUCUAGAACAUAGUGUGUGUUCAAAACUGUUUGUUUGAGGAGGCGAAUUCCAGGAAUAUGGCAGAGUAGGAAGCACCAGGAAUCCAUCUGCCCACCCAGACAACAAUGGCAGUGCAGAAUCUGUCUGAUGUAACUGUUUUGGAACUCUGGAAUCAACUGAAGGCUCGCAACUUCCACAGCGUGGCCUGGACAAUGAGUUGUAGUUCAUUCCAGUCAAUCUUAGCUCUUAGUUUAGCAGCAGCUGCCCAUAGUACACCUCCAGCCCUGUGGUGGGCAACUGUGCAUGUGUUCCUGAAGCAGUUUCCACACAGUUAAAUGGAGUCAUAGUGAGCAGUAAGGACUCUGUCCUCCAAAUAUUGAGGAUCUGUGCUCUGACUGUUGAUGGCUGCUUUUGCUUAGGGAGGUUCACACAUAGAGUUGUGCAGCCAUUCUGGAGCCCACUCGUUGUAAGCCCCUCCUCUUUCAACUGAAGUGACUUCCAGGGGAUUUAAAGGGCUAGUGCCCUGACCUCCUUAUUCAUUUUUUUCUUUUUCCUCUUUUGGAAGAUAGACAUUAAAGACUAGAACAUCCAAAAGCAACUGCAUUUAAAGGGGAACAUAGAAAGUCACUGUGCAUGCCAGGGAAAGGAGCAGGCCAGAAAAGACCUGAGAAGACCUUCAGUUUACACCUCAGGCUGUUGCUCAGCAUGGAGACAGCCUACAUCAAUCAAGAAAACAAAGAUAAAAAAACAAAAACAGAAAACUGCGCGGAAGGGGAAAAACUGAUUUUCAGAGUUGUCACAUUGUUAGAUUCAGAUGUCCAAUUUUCAACAAAAAAUCAGAAGGCAUACAAAAAAACCCAGGAAGGUAGGGCUCAUUAAAAAGAAAAAAGUAAACCAAUAGAAACUGACCCUGAGAAAGAACAGAUGGCAGAUCUAGUAGACAAAGAUUUCAAACUGUCUUAAAGAUGAUCAAAGAACUAAAGGAAGAUGAGAGAAAGUCGAGAAAAUAAUAUGUGAGCAAAAUGGAAAUAUUAAAAAGAGAUAGAAAAACCUAAAAAGAAACCAAAAAUAAAUUAGCUGAAAAUUGCAAUAAUUGAAAUGAAAAGUUUACUAGAGGGAUUCAGAGGCGGAUUUGAGCAGAUAAAAGAAAGAAUCUGCAGAUCUGAAGAUAGGAUUGAAAUUGUUGAGUCUGAGCAACCUCAAGAAAUAUGAUUGAAGAAAAGCAAACGGAGUCCAAGGAACUCAUGGGGCCCAUCAAGUGGACACUUCAUGCAUUGUGGGGAUCCCAGGAAGGGAAGAGAAAAAGAAAAGGGCAGAGAAGUUAUUUGAAGAAAUAAUGGCCAAAACCUCCCCAAAUUUGAUGAACAACAUGAGCAUAAACAUCUAAAAGCUCAACGAAAUCUAAGUACAAUGAACUCAAAGAGAUUCUCACUGAGACAUAUAAUCGAACUGCUGAAAGACAAAGCAGAGAGAAUCUAGAAAGCAACAAGAGAGAAGUGAUUAAUCACAUAUGAGGGAUCCUCAAUGAGAAUGUUAGCAAAUUUCUCAUCAGAAAGUUUAGAGGCCAGAAGGCAGUGGACUGAUAUAUUCAAAGUGCUAAAAGAAAAAAAAUAAAACUGUUAACUCAAGAAUCCUAUAUGUGGCAAAACUUGAUAUAGUUUUGAAAAGUGAGGAGAAAUUAAGAUAUUUUGAGAUAAACAAAAGCUGAGUGAGUUCAUUACCAUUAGACCUGCUCUUUAAGAAAUCCUAAAGGGAGUUCUUUAGGUUGAAGUAAAAGGACACUAGACAGUAAAUCAAAGCCAUAUGAAUAAAUAAUGAUUCCAGUACUCCACUUUUUUUCUACAUGAUUUGAGACAUACGUUUUUUAAAAAAAAACAAUUAUUAGUGUAAAAGCUAGUAUUAUUCUAACUCCACAUUUUUAUUUCUACAUAGUUUAAGAGACUAAUGAAAUAAAAACAAUUUUAAGUUUAUGUUUUUGGACACACAAUGUACAAAGGUGUAAUUUUUGACAUAAAUAAAUGAAAGGGGGGACAAAGCUGUAUAUG
ensembl:lncRNA